rnacentral:piRNA from 1 species
UGGAAAUCCCUGUAUGGUUCACAUGGCCAGU